AACGAACGCUGGCGGCAGGCCUAACACAUGCAAGUCGAGCGAGGACUUCGGUCCUAGCGGCGGACGGGUGAGUAACGCGUGGGAACGUGCCCUUUGCUUCGGAAAAGCCCUGGGAAACUGGGAGUAAUACCGGAUGAGCCCUUUGGGGGAAAGAUUUAUCGGCGAAGGAUCGGCCCGCGUUGGAUUAGGUAGUUGGUGGGGUAAUGGCCUACCAAGCCGACGAUCCAUAGCUGGUUUGAGAGGAUGAUCAGCCACACUGGGACUGAGACACGGCCCAGACUCCUACGGGAGGCAGCAGUGGGGAAUCUUAGACAAUGGGGGAAACCCUGAUCUAGCCAUGCCGCGUGAGCGAUGAAGGCCUUAGGGUUGUAAAGCUCUUUCAGCUGGGAAGAUAAUGACGGUACCAGCAGAAGAAGCCCCGGCUAACUCCGUG
rnacentral:rRNA from 1 species